rnacentral:lncRNA from 1 species
GGGGAAUCUUGUUCACACAACGCACUCAGGUGGUUUCACGUUUAGCCAGCAGACUUGCAGAGCACUGCAGGUGGCUUCUGCCCACCACCCCUGCCCCACGCCGCUACAGAAAACUGCUUCAGCCCCGCUUCCCAGCAUUUUCAAGAUCUCUACACAUAUGGCUGUGGCUUUUCCUACUGCCUCUCUGGUUUUGCUGAAAGGGACCGUGACUUCCUUCAUGUCAGCUUUCCCCCACUACCUCCCCUGUGGGAAGCAGGCAAAGGAUACAAAAUUUGCAUACAGAAGACGGAAAAUGUUUGGAGGAUAAAAAUAAGGAGGAGUAACAUGAUCCUCAGUUCAGAUCUUCCUCGAAGUAUUGAAAAAAACCAGAAGGAAAGCAGAGGCAAAGCUUCCAACAAUACUGUGUAAGUUACACAGUAAAAGUCUUCAGGAGCACAUGUCUUUGAAGUACCAUGGGGAAGACUCAAUCCUAUUACAGCCCUCCUGAGGAAGUGUUAAUCUUCUAGACAAAGAAACCAAGGCUCACUUUUUAUGAACCUGUAUGUACUUUUGAUUGCUUCUGGCUUGGUUUAUUUGUUUCUUUAAGGCUCAUCAAACCUGAUUUUUUUCCUGAACCACUAAACCUACAGUUCAACUCAAAGGCAAAUGGAAGCUGCUAUGAAAGAUCAGACCACUUUCUUUUGGGAAGGGUGAAUUUAUGGGCCUGUAUUCUACUGUUAUUGAUGAAAUGCCAUCAUUGUGGAAAUCAAUAAAACAGCCUAUCACCAAAAACA